rnacentral:rRNA from 1 species
AGAGUUUGAUCCUGGCUCAGGAUGAACGCUGGCGGCGUGCUUAACACAUGCAAGUCGAACGAGAACCAAUGGAAUGAGGAUUCGUCCAAAGGAAGUUGGGGAAAGUGGCGGACGGGUGAGUAACGCGUGAGCAAUCUGCCUUGGAGUGGGGAAUAACGGUUGGAAACAGCCGCUAAUACCGCAUGAUACAGCUAUCCCGCAUGGGGUUGGCUGUCAAAGAUUUAUCGCUCUGAGAUGAGCUCGCGUCUGAUUAGCUAGUUGGUGAGGUAACGGCCCACCAAGGCGACGAUCAGUAGCCGGACUGAGAGGUUGGCCGGCCACAUUGGGACUGAGACACGGCCCAGACUCCUGCGGGAGGCAGCAGUAGGGAAUUUUCGUCAAUGGGCGCAAGCCUGAACGAGCGAUGCCGCGUGAGUGAAGAAGGCCUUCGGGUCGUAAAGCUCUGUUGCGGGGGAAAAAAGGCAGCAUCAGGAAAUGGGUGCUGACUGAUGGUGCUCCGCCAGAAAGUCACGGCUAACUACGUGCCAGCAGCCGCGGUAAUACGUAGGUGGCGAGCGUUAUCCGGAAUGAUUGGGCGUAAAGGGUGCGCAGGCGGUCCUGCAAGUCUGGAGUGAAACGCAUGAGCUCAACUCAUGCAUGGCUUUGGAAACUGGAGGACUGGAGAGCAGGAGAGGGCGGUGGAACUCCAUGUGUAGCGGUAAAAUGCGUAGAUAUAUGGAAGAACACCAGUGGCGAAGGCGGCCGCCUGGCCUGUUGCUGACGCUGAGGCACGAAAGCGUGGGGAGCAAAUAGGAUUAGAUACCCUAGUAGUCCACGCCGUAAACGAUGAGGACCAAGUGUUGGGGGUGAAACCUCAGUGCUGCAGUUAACGCAGUGAGUCCUCCGCCUGGGGAGUAUGCACGCAAGUGUGAAACUCAAAGGAAUUGACGGGGGCCCGCACAAGCGGUGGAGUAUGUGGUUUAAUUCGAAGCAACGCGAAGAACCUUACCAGGCCUUGACAUAGGGUGCGAAGCUAUGGAGACAUAGUGGAGGUAAACAUCCAUACAGGUGGUGCAUGGUUGUCGUCAGCUCGUGUCGUGAGAUGUUCAGUUAAGUCUGGCAACGAGCGCAACCCUCGUGAUGUGUUACCAAUAUCGAGUUAGGGACUCACAUCAGACUGCCGGUGAGAAACCGGAGGAAGGCGGGGAUGACGUCAAAUCAUCAUGCCCCUUAUGGCCUGGGCUACACACGUACUACAAUGGCGGCGACAGAGGGCAGCGAGCCUGCGAAGGCAAGCGAAUCCCAAAAAAGCCGUCCCAGUUCGGAUUGGAGUCUGCAACCCGACUCCAUGAAGUUGGAAUCGCUAGUAAUCGCGGAUCAGCAUGCCGCGGUGAAUACGUUCUCGGGCCUUGUACACAACGCCCGUCAA